GACCGGGAACAGCGGCUUAAGCCAUUAGGUGUAGGCGCUUUCCAGAGGUGGAAGAUUUACGUUCUUCCUAUUUAACCCGAAACCGAUCGAUCUAGCCAUGAGCAGGUUGAAGAGAGCUCUAACAGGCCUUGGAGGACCGAACCCACGUAUGUGGCAAAAUAAGGGGAAGACUUGUGGAUGGUGUUUUUCGCAGCAGUCCAAGGGGUUGGUUCACUUUUGGUUAUGCUACCUUUGCUUUGCUCUUCUUUUUCGGACACAUUUGG
rnacentral:ncRNA from 1 species